GCCCUUGUAGUUAAAUGGAUAUAACAGUUCCGUCCUAAGGAAUAGUUGCAGGUUCGAUUCCUGCCAAGGGCACCA
rnacentral:tRNA from 1 species